UUAUCGAUCAUAUUGUAACUUGAGAAAUCAUAAGAGAAGAAGAAAUCGUUGCGUAGAAAGUCGUGCUUACUAUCUCCUCCAUCGUUGUUAUGUAAGAGGAAAAGAGCGAAAAGCUGACUUUUAGGUAGUGGCCUAAGCGCUAAGCCAUGGCACUUGAUAUUUUUAAGAGAAAUGGAUUGGUUAGAUGUCCUUGUAGUGAAUGUAGGUGCUUGAAAUUUUUAAUCCAAAUAUAGUUAUGGUUCAUUUGUAUGGUAAUGAAUUUAAGCUUAGAUAUUUUGUAUGAGUUGAUCAUGCAGAAAUAGAUGGAUUGAAUAAUAUAUUUUAUAAUAUGCUGUCCGUGGAUGAAUAUAAUAUACUUGCACCACAUAGUCAAAUUAGGGUUGAACAUAAUGGGGUUCAACAUGAUACAAUUUAAUAUGAUAGAUUUCAUGAAAUGGUCAAUGAUUCUUUCGGGGUUCAAGGUGGGAUGGAACCCGAACAAUAUUUUGAUGAAACUCCUAAUGAAGAAGCAAGACGCUUCUAUCAACAAUUAAAAGAGGCUAGUCGUCCACUAUGUGAAGGGAAUCCACAUUCUGCUUUGUUAGUUGAAGUUAGGUUCAUGAAUAUUAAAUCAGAUUGGAGUGUUCCUCAUACAGCUAUUGACUCAAUGGUUGAUCUUUUGGGCAAAUUAGUUAAUCUUGAGUUUAACAUACCUAAGAACUUCUAUCAGACAAAGAGAUUGAUUUCCAAGUUAGGAUUGUCGUAUGAUAGAAUUCAUUGUUGUGUGAAUGACUGCAUGUUAUUCUACAAGACUGGUAGUGAAUUAGAAAAUUGUAAGUUUUGUGGACAAGCUUGUUAUAAGAGGACUCCUACUGAAAAGAUGGUCCCAAUUAAGGUGAUGCAUUAUUUACAUCUUAUUCCUAGAUUAAAGAGAUUGUAUGAAUCGAUGAGGUCUGCCCCACAUAUGAGAUGAUAUCGUGAAUAUAGAAAGCCGCCGGGUGUCUUGUCUCAUCCAUCUGACGUAGAAGCAUGGAAACAUUUUGAUAACAUAUAACCUGAUUUUGCUAUUGAACCAAGAAAUGUAAGAUUGGGAUUGUGUGUAGAUGGCUUCAAACCAUUCUCUAAUGUUGCCUCACCUUAUUCUUGCUGGCCUGUAUUUCUUACCCUAUAUAACCUUCCUCCUGAAAUGUGCAUGACAAGUCCGUACAUCUUUCUAAGCUGUGUUAUUCUAGGUACUCGUAAUCCUAAAAGUUUGAUUGAUGUCUAUCUACAGCCAUUGAUAGAUAAGCUUAAACAAUUGUGGGUUGAAGGCAUAGUGACUUAUGAUAUAUCAACUAAGCAGAAUUUUGUUAUGCGUGUUGCUUUAAUGUGGACUAUUAAUGAUUUUCAUGUAUAUGGGAUGUUGUCUGGUUGAAUAUCUAUUGGAAAGCUUGCUUGUUCUCAUUGCAUGGAAAAUAGUAAGACAUUCACCUUAAAGCAUGACAGAAAAAUUCAUGGUUUGAUUGUCAUCGUCAGUUCUUUCCAAUGAACCAUGAGUUUAGAAAGAUGAAACAUGCAUUCAAAAAAAAUUAAAAAUGACCCUUCACCUCCAUCACUAACAGGACAUCAAAUUUGGGAGAAAGUUUCUCAAUUGCCUAAAGCUACAGAAACUCCACCAUCUAGACUUCCUGGAUAUGGUGUUGAACAUAAUUGAAAAAAAUAGAGCAUAUUCUGGGAGUUGCCGUAUUGAAAGGAUAAUCUUCUACAACAUAAUCUUGAUGUGAUGCACAUUGAGAAAAAUUAUUUUGACAAUUUAUUUAACACAGUGAUGGAUGUUAAGGGCAAGACAAAAGACAACACAAGAGCUAGAAUGGACUUAAAGGAAUACUGUAGGAGAAAGGAAUUGUGGUUGCAAGAAUUCAAAAUGGUAAAUUUGUCAAGCCUAAAGCCAAUUAUUCAUUCACAUUGGAUGAGAAACGUGACAUAUGUGAGUGGGUUAAAAAUUUGAGAAUGCCAGAGUGAUAUGUUUUGAAUUUAGGUAAGCGGGCAGAUCUGAAUGAAGAAAAGUUGAUAGGUAUGAAAAGUCAUGAUUGUCAUGUAUUCAUGGAAACUUUAAUUCCUAUCGCUUUUAGCCAUCUAUCUGAUAGGAUAUGGAAACCAAUCACAGAGGUAAGUCUUUCAUUUAGAGAUUUAUGUUCUAGAAAGUUGUUGGAAAGUACUUUAGACAGGAUGGAGGAAAAUAUUUCUGUUAUUACUACAAAGUUAGAGAAGAUUUUUUCAUGUGGUUUUUUGAUGUGAUGAAGCAUCUUCCGAUUCAUCUUGUAAAAGAAGCCCGCCUUGAAGGUCCAGUUCAAACAAGGUGGAUGUAUUCAUUUGAGAGAGAGGAAAGAUCGAAGGAUCAAUUGUUCAAGCUCAUAUUGCGAGAGAAACUGGUGACUUUUAUUCCUAUUACUUUGGGGAUGAGUUCCAUGUAAGAGAAAUAUGCCUAAUCGCAAUGAUGAAGGUGAUAGUGAUCGAUGUUUCCACCUAUUUUAAUUUUUAAUCAAAGUGGUCGAGGAUCUAAACGGUGUGAAAGAUGAGGCUUCACUAAUAUGGAAAGACAAUCAGCUGUGACCCCUAUUCUGCUUAAUUGUCAGAAAUUCAGUCAUAUCUUAACUUGUUCGUAAGCACAUGGAGCAAUGAAGCCAUAUAUACGAGGUUUUCCAAAUGGCUAAAGGAUUAUACUAGUGGCAGUACAUGAUGUGCCUGGGUUAGCUUCUAGGAAAAUGGACAGACUUGGGAGAGUCAUGAUUGAGCCUGAUGGAUCCUCGUGGCAUCCUUCGAAGGAGGCUGCUAGAGCUCUUCAGGAGAGUGUUAGGAGGCUGCUAGGGCUCUUCAGGAGAGUGUUAGGAGGCUAUAUACUGAGCCCUAUCAGUUUUGGCGGGAGAUUUCAAACAGUAUUCGCUAGGCGAUGUUUAAUGAAUUCAAGACUUUAUGUACCUGGGAGCCAAGGUACAAUAUGGUCAUUGCGACCACUUUUGAAAGAAAAACGAGCGUCAUACUGUCUAGCUGUCUAAAGAAAGCUAGGAAUGAUCAGGCGCUUUCGAGUUGGAUGCUACCUCAGAUAUUUGAAGAAUUAUGCCGAUAUUGGGAUACCGAAGAAUUCAAGCCUUUUUUCGAACAAGGAAAAAAGCAAGAUUCAGCCUAAAGGGUGGCUCAUUUCAUAUCGGAGGUGCAAAAAGUGUUGGUACAAUUCAGAGGGAGAUGAAAAAAGAAUUGGGACGCACUGUCUAUCAUCAUGAAGUCUUUAAAAAGACUCAUAUAAAGAAAAAGACUAAUGCUUCGGAUACGGAUGAGUGGGUGGAGGAAAGGGCCAAACAAGCCUAUCAAGAUUAUGAGCGGCACACACGUGAUAUGAGAGAUUCGAUUCAGCUAACGCCUGAACAGUUCACUCAAAUUUGGAUAGAAAAAAUAGUUAAAGGCAGCCACAAGGGCCGAAUAUAUAGAAUGGGCUCUAGGAAUAAUGUACGAUGACUCCAAUCAGGUUUAGAAGGUAUUGGAUCGUCGGUCAAGUCGAGACUGUUGACGGGGUUCAGGUAGCUAUUAUGUCUCAACAAAUUGCAGAACUUACACGCGCAUUGGCAGAAUCUAAGAAAAGAAGGGUUGAGGAGCAAAAAAGUAUGAAUGAACAAGUUGAGCAAAUUAAAAAACAAACGUUCAACCUCGCCCGUCAAUCUCCGCCUCGUUAUUCAAGAGGGUCCACUCCGGAUGAAUCCGACAAUAGUGAUGAAUACAUAGCAAAUAGUUCUUAGGUUUCCUAGGUUAGUUUAUGAAUAUUUUAAAAUCUUUUGUUAACUUUGAAACACUUUAAAUCGUUCUAAAUAAUGACUUUAUUCGUUUUAAGUGUUUAAUUAUUUUUGUUAUUAUG